CAAACCAAAGCUGGCGACCGGCGCACGGGUGAGUAACACGUACCCAACCUGCCUCAUACUCGGGGAUAGCCUUUCGAAAGAAAGAUUAAUAUCCGAUAGCAUAUAUUUCCCGCAUGGGUUUUAUAUUAAAGAAAUUCGGUAUGAGAUGGGGAUGCGUUCCAUUAGUUUGUUGGGGGGGUAACGGCCCACCAAGACUACGAUGGAUAGGGGUUCUGAGAGGAAGGUCCCCCACAUUGGAACUGAGACACGGUCCAA
rnacentral:rRNA from 1 species